rnacentral:lncRNA from 1 species
AUGAAUAUAUCAUUGAUGAUGUUUGUUGAUGAUGCUAUUGUUUAUGAUGUUUGUUGAUGAUGCUAUUGGUGAUGAUGUUUGUUGAUGAUGUUAUUGUUAACGAUGUUUGUGUAUUUUUUGUUGAUGAUGUUGUUGUUGUUGUUGUUGAUGAUGCUUAUGUAUUUAUUAUUGUUGAUGCUUAUUUGUUAUUGUUGAUGCCAUUGUUGUUCAUGAUUACAUAUUGUUGCUUAUGUAUUUAUUAUUGUUGAUGCUUAUUGCUGUUGAUGAUGCUU